UACGGGCGAGGAUAAGCGCGGGUACGGGCUCGGAAGUCGAGAAGAAGGCGCGGGCGCCCCGGUGAGGGAGAGACCAAGAGGUACGGGUACGUGCACGGUGUGGCGCAGGCAGCACGGGCAGCAACGGUAGUGCGAGCGGCGUCGGUGGCGUGGUGACACGGGGCGCGCUGCGUGUGGGACUGGCGCACAGUGUGAGAGCGACCGACGCGAGCGGGGCAGACGACGGCGGAUAGGGAAGCGAGCGGGGCGACAGCGCGGGGACGGAGCACGGCGGAGGACAGCGCCGGUAGAAGACGGCCGGCGGGGGAGUCGGUGCGAUCGGCGUAGAAACGGGAAGUGGCAGCCGGCGAACGGAGCGGACGACGUACGAAGAAGGACGACGAUACACGACGAGAUGGUGACCAUGCGACAACGCGGUACGGGAGCUGUGGCGACACCUGUUUACACCGCCUCCCUAACAGUUACCUCAUGCUCCUCCUCCACCGCCUCUUCCACACCUCUCCGUUCUCCAGAUCCCACCGCAGUCGACCGACACCACCUCGGCAGGAGAGCUAGAGUAGACCUGUAGGUCGGGGUGGGGCGGGGAGUGGCGGCAGACGGCAGCACGCGGCGGCGGCGGCGGAUGGGGCGGCCGCGCGGAUGGGGAUGUGGUUCACGGUUAUGUGGGCGCGGGUAGGUAAUGGCCCCUGAGCGCCGGAAGAUGGCGGCCGCCGUGCGUUGCAGCGCCGGUAACCGCCGAGGGGCUGGAACGAUGGUACCGCGAAGGCCCUGAGGAGGGACGAUCCCUCUCCUCCUUUCGAUCCACCGUUCCGCUCCGGCCCCGACCCGCGACCGAGAGGGCUAGGUCUGCCCUAGCUCCGUCCCGUACCCGCCGAACCCGCGUGACGCGCACCUCCGAACACCCCGCGCCCCGCAAGCAGGCUAGAUCUACGAAGACGUGGUGAAGACCAACCCAAGACAUUCAUGACGUCACGAAUGCUACCUGCAGUUGGUUCCUUCUUCCGCGUUUGUCCACUACUUCUUCCGCAUUGGUUCCGCACCCUCUCAAAUUUACUCACCUCUCCUUAAACCCGAAAUCCGGAACAUUAUCAAACCCGGUACCCGGAAUCGUUCAACCGCCAACACCUACUGUAAACGCGCUUCGACCGUAGCGACCUACACUUCGAGUGCCUCGUUCGCCGCGCGGACCUAGUUCACGUACAGUUCCACCUAGACAGGACGCUGUGCAACCCCGUUCACGUCGUCCCUGUCGAAGUACGCCGCUCUCCUCUGUUCUGGUGUCCCGUUCCGCUCUCGAGAAGUGGGUGUCGUAACCUCCAGAGCCUACCCUAAGACCCGUGUCCUGGCGCCAUAUCCGUCGGUGGUGGUGGUGGAGGUGGUGGUGAAGUCCAUGGCCAAUGUAACGGACAACAAGUCAACGGCUACAGCAAGCGCCAGCUCCUCUCACCAUUGUUUGCGGUCACCUACGGAUUCUACCUAAAAAGCUCCAAGCUACCAAGACUACACGCCUAAACCAACCUAUCUACGCUCCGAAAGAAGGUCAAUAUAGUGUAUGGACUUUUAAAGUUCCAAUGAAGACGAAGAGACAUGGACUGCCUAUUACGACGUGUAACCAUGGUUCGCAAGUUCGUCUGACGCCGUAAGGUAUGAACCCUUGUUAAAACACUCCGGUAAUACUUCCUUAAACUACACCUGCAAAUGGCAGUCUUCUACUUCCUCGACUACGAUGAGUUCGUCUGACCAUGACAGCUUCUUAUAUUCGUGGUCAAGUACGUGAACCACAUAUGCCAGUCCAACAUACUCGGCUGUUAGUCGCUGUGUAAAGACUAGUGAGCUAAACACUACCCUGACUUCCUGCUUGAAGCUCGACCCCAUCUUCAAGUCUAUGGAAGAUGUCAUGUUUACCGACGGGACAUACGGAGUCAAGUCCUUCCUAAUAACGACGUUGUUUUUUGAGGAUUCGGUGGAAAGAGGUUCUCAAGUAUGUGUUUCUGACUGUCAGUGUGCACAUUGGUUGGGUGACAAGGUCGUCCAGUUGAGUUCCGACGUCUUUACCACCUAGGAGUACUCUAAUAGAGACUACGUCACAAACUACGAGAACACUGUUUACCAGUACUCCUUACACGUCGAAAUAGUCGUUGUCGUAACAGUCCUCGUGGAGUGGGGCCUUGUUAAGUCAACUCCCGUAACGGCAACCUAGACAGAGAUGGCCCAUAUUAAGGUCUUCGUCACGAGCUAGCCGCUGACCACUUUUUUCCCUUGUUGAGAGUGAACGUUCACAACUAUUUUACCCGAUGUUAUGGUGGCAGCAGUCGGUGGACCCUUCUAAUACUGCACGAGUUCCGCGCAAUAGGUCGCCGUGGUCGAACCCCUGUUCGACCAAGAAGUCCCCGCCCAUGACCAACCGCGGGGCACAGACGCGGGGUAUUCGAACCUGCCUCGAGGCUGCGCCGGUACAACCGGAACGUCUACUCGAGGUUUACACCGGUUAGGAGACUUCUAAGUUACCUUAGACUACAAUUACGGACGUCCGACGUCAACAACUAGUGAGUCUCUGAGUUUCACCAGCCUGGGAAGGGACCUGGGACGCGUUCGCCCUCGAUGUACGUGGUCACAUAACCACGGUUACGACGUAAACCUCAACCUCUCCGGCUCCGGUGGACGACGUUCUCCGUUUACCAGUUGAUGUCGGCGUUCUCUCCUAGUGUCCACAAGACGGCCGUCAAAGUUAAAUCAGUCCGUCAACGGUAGUAGCACUCUGACGGCUGACCUCCUUGAUGUUACCGAGAAACAAGGUCGGUAUAGGCUAGGGGACCCGACCUCGAAAGGCCAGUGGACUUCUCGUACCACGUACCCCGCACGGCAACCGCAGACGGACCUACCCCUGUGCCCGGUGGAAGCGACAUAUCAGCGGCUGAUUAGCGGUUCAGCAAAAGGUUUUUAGUCCCAUGUCGCUGAAUACCGCUGAUAUGUCGCUGAAAGCAGCUGAUAUGCGACUCGGCGUCCCGAGCGCCGCUGAGCGGUUCAGCGCUGAGUUUUUGGAACCAGAGCCCCCACACCGAAGAUGACUUAAAAGCUGUGGUGGUUGAGGACCUCCCCUCCGCCCUGCCUGCCGUCGCCGUAAGAUAAGCCCCAACGCAGCUAGACCACUACGACCUCGUAUGUCCUUUGUAGUGGAGGUGGUGCUGGAGGUGGUGCUGUAAAGUUCACGUUGCCUCAACGGAAAACGGGAGGGGAGGUGGGAAAGGCCUAUCGAUACAGGGUGGUAGUCGUAAUCUUGUUCUCUUUCUCUUGGAGGGGUACACCGGUGCAGAAGUUUGUCUUGGAGGGGUGCGGAGGUGGCGGUCUAGUGGGAGGGGACACGAAGAGGACGUGGCGGCACGCCCGCAGCCGCGGAAGGGCCGCUCGGCUCGUAGUACGUGGUUCCUCCGUAGGCAUAAGGGAAGAGUGUGCGACGGCUACGGCGCCUCGGCGCCUCCGCGACGAUAGCGAGCGCUAAACUACAUU
rnacentral:rRNA from 1 species